CAGUCGCCGCGGGAAUACGAAGGGGGCUAGCGUUGUUCGGAAUCACUGGGCGUAAAGCGCACGUAGGCGGAUUUUUAAGUCAGGGGUGAAAUCCCGAGGCUCAACCUCGGAACUGCCUUUGAUACUGGAGAUCUUGAGUUCGGAAGAGGUUGGUGGAACAGCUAGUGUAGAGGUGAAAUUCGUAGAUAUUAGCUAGAACACCAGUGGCGAAGGCGGCCAACUGGUCCGACACUGACGCUGAGGUGCGAAAGCGUGGGGAGCAAACAGGAUUAGAUACCCCUGUAGUCCCUGUCUCUUAUAC
rnacentral:rRNA from 1 species